GCGCGGGCUAAUGAAUCGUAGAGUAUGAUUGAUGUUAAUUAUUGGUCGUCGGAUUCAUGACGUGAUGAACAGUGAAAGUGGCGUCGAGUGAAACUGUAGAAAAUAGAUAAAGCCAACAUAGCGGAGAGAGAAACGAUGGUUCUCACCUACAGAAGCAUUAGGUAUAGCUCAUUUAAACAUGACUGAAAACAGAUGCAAAUAUGCAAUGAUGUUGCGGUUUACAGUGGUGUCUAUAUCGCUUGUGUCGGCUUACAGAGUUUUGUGCAAUGCCGCAUCCGUAAGUUGAAUAUGAGAACUCUAUUGAGAACUUCUUUACAUAGUGACUAUGUAACACUAGAGUACUCUGUAGACUCAAUGAAUUUAUAAAGUUUAUAAUUAUCCUUUACACAUCAUAGUGAUAUUGUGCUGUUUGUACACAAUGCCAAAAUGGACUUAAUCAAACGGUGUCAAACCAAUAAAUAAAUUUAAUAAUGAGUUUAUUGAACAUUUUAACAAUCAUUUAAAUUUUGAUUUAAUGUGCCUUGUUGGGUGAAGGUAGGAACUGAAUUAUUUAUUACUUAUCAUUUUAUCAAUUUCAAUGCCCAUUUGGAUUUUCAAGAUUGUAGUUAUGUGGUAUUAGUAAUAAAAUUACAGUAAUUAUUU